UACAGAGGUCCCGAGCGUUGUUCGGAUUCACUGGGCGUAAAGGGUGCGUAGGCGGGUCUUUAAGUCAGGGGGGAAAUCCUGGAGCUCAACUCCAGAACUGCCUUUGAUACUGAAGAUCUUGAGUUCGGGAGAGGUGAGUGGAACUGCGAGUGUAGAGGUGAAAUUCGUAGAUAUUCGCAAGAACACCAGUGGCGAAGGCGGCUCACUGGCCCGAUACUGACGCUGAGGCACGAAAGCGUGGGGAGCAAACAGG
rnacentral:rRNA from 1 species